rnacentral:lncRNA from 1 species
CCAAUCCCCUGGACUGUUACUGUUAGGUUGAAUGCCCUCCACCAAUACCCUGGACUGUUACUGUUAGGUUGAAUGCCCUCCUCCAAUCCCCUGGACUGUUACUGUUAGGUUGAAUGCCCUCCACCAAUCCCCUGGACUGUUACUGUUAGGUUGAAUGCCCUCCACCAAUACCCUGGACUGUAACUGUUAGGUUGAAUGCCCUCCUCCAAUCCCCUGGACUGUUACUGUUAGGUUGAAUGACUAACGAUGAAGCCUACCGAAGCCUACAGUGAUUUGCUCUGACAGCAUUUUCUAUGUUAAUUUGACUAAUGAGUAACAUUUAAAGUAUUUUUUAAAGAGGUACUCAUGUCAACAAAUGAAUGGAGUUUCUUUUACAGGGAGAGCUGUAUGAACGGGGGAUAGACACUAUGAGGAAAUGGGAGGGGAGAGGAGGGGACGUCACAUAGUUUUACAACCUGAAGGAUGAACCAUGUCUCUAACAUUUUGUAUUUUAUUGGAGCUGUGGAUGUGGCUAGCUCUGGUCCAGGGGGUUAGUGCAUUCCUCGCUAACGCCCUGGACCAGAGCUAGUUGUGGCUAACUGUGGUGGGACUGAGGAGAAAUAGAAUUUUAAAAUGCUGUAAAAGAAACCCAAGACCUUACUUUAAAGACAAGAUCAAAGCUGC